AGGGCGAACGCUGGCGGCGUGCUUAACACAUGCAAGUCGAGCGGAAAGGCCCUUCGGGGUACUCGAGCGGCGAACGGGUGAGUAACACGUGAGUAAUCUGCCCCUAGCUCUGGGAUAGCUCCGGGAAACCGGGAUUAAUACCGGAUACGACCACCUUAGACAUCUUUUGUGGUGGAAAGAAUUUCGGCUAGGGAUGAGCUCGCGGCCUAUCAGCUUGUUGGUGGGGUAACGGCCUACCAAGGCGACGACGGGUA
rnacentral:rRNA from 1 species